AAAUGCAAUGUGAUCUAAGGUUAUUUUAUCCCAGCUAAGUCUUGGGUCGCAUUUCAUGAUC
rnacentral:pre_miRNA from 1 species